rnacentral:rRNA from 1 species
UUCUGGCUCAGGAUGAACGCUAGCUACAGGCUUAACACAUGCAAGUCGAGGGGCAGCAUUGGGAUAGCUUGCUAUUCAGAUGGCGACCGGCGCACGGGUGAGUAACGCGUAUCCAACCUUCUCGCCAGGUAGGGAACAGCCCGGCGAAAGUCGGAUUAAUGCCCUAUGUUCUUCAAUGCGGACAUCUAAGUUGAAGGAAAGAUUCAUCGCUGGCAGAUGGGGAUGCGUCCGAUUAGCUUGCCGGCGGGGUAACGGCCCACCGGGGCGACGAUCGGUAGGGGUUCUGAGAGGAAGGUCCCCCACACUGGUACUGAGACACGGACCAGACUCCUACGGGAGGCAGCAGUGAGGAAUAUUGGUCAAUGGGCGUAAGCCUGAACCAGCCAAGUAGCGUGCAGGAUGACGGCCCUACGGGUUGUAAACUGCUUUUAUGCGGGGAUAAAGUGCGGCACGUGUGCCGCUUUGCAGGUACCGCAUGAAUAAGGACCGGCUAAUUCCGUGCCAGCAGCUGC